UUUUUAUUUCCCGCCAGCAACAUUGGUCGCAGGAUGAAGAGAGCCAGACGCUCGAAUAGUCCUCUCUGCUUUCCGUCCCUUUCCAGCGGCGACAGUCUCUGUCCCUUCCUCAGUAACAUCCUCUCAUCUCUCAUCUCCUUCUCCCUCCCUUCCCUACCGGCGAUGGCAUUCUCUUUGUCGCUUCAUCUCCAUUUUUUUCCCCAAAACUUGAUCAGAGAAGGAACCGAAGACAUUCCUUUCGUUGGAUGCGUUCAGAGAAGGAAAAACCAAUCGAUCGGGCUCUCUCCUUUGAUCGAUUUACGGCGACAUCCUGUUUCUCCGUCGGCUUUCUGUUUCGCAGGCGACAUCCAACUCAAAGGCCGCAUCCUUCUCCGGCAGUGUCUCGUUUCUCUGGCAUCAACCGCUUCUGCGAGUGUGGCUCUACCGUCCACCUCUCUCUCUCUCUCUCUCUCUGAUUCUCUCACUUACAUAGUCGGUCGUUCUAAUUAUGUCUAAACCCGCGUUUGAUGGGGGCCUUUUUGACUUCUCUGGUGUCCUGUAGCUGUUUCGCCUCUGGUGAUCAACCUUGAGCCUCUUUCAAGUACCUUCCUUCGAGCCUCUCUCUCUCUCUCUCUCUCUCUCUCUCUCUCUCUCUCUCUCUCUAGUACAAAUUUCAAGUUCUGUGGCAGGGUUCCCUUGUGUUAGCUGACUACUGGCUUGCGUUUGAGACAUCAAAUACCAGCUCAGGCUCAUUUAAAGCAUUUUGAGUUCUGCAUACUUUACUAUUGCAGUAGCUUCAUGUGUAUUUUUGGUGCUCAGGAUCUUUUGCAUGACAUUUCUGGGACUCAAAACAUCUCAGGUCUUCUUCAAACAGACUCUAACAGCAUACUUCAUGCUGCAAUGUCACUUUUUGAUGCAAUACCUUCUGGAAGGAUUCUUAGCAGGUUCUGAGCAUCAUUAUUGUCACGUGCCAAGUUGCUUGGCCGACCAUUUUUAAUUGGCUGACCAUCUUACGCCACUUGCUUGGAUGAAUUUCUGCUACAGGGUAAGCAAGCUACCAUGACAUAUUCUUUUUCGUCUAGCUGCAAAAAGUUGCACCUCUCCUUCUCAAUUUUACAAACUUGUGGUAGACCAAUAUGUAAUGGCAUUUACAUGUUAUGCAUAAACAAAUUUAAGUUUGUUUAUUUAGGGCCCGUUUGAUGGGCCGGAAUUAUACUGUAUGGAAAGAAACAAAAUUCAAAUUUUUAAAAAAAUUCCGAUUUAACAAAAGCGAUAUUAUUUUUUUUACCAUUUCCGUGGAAAUCGGAAUUUUGUUUCCGGAAAAAUGUUUCCACCGCGAGAGGUGGAAACAUAUUUCCAGAAUUAUUUUGUUGCCCGUUAGGGCUCUUCGCUUUGGGCUCCCCUCAUCUUUGUCCUCUCGCCUCCCACCCACGCAGCGCCUCCCUCCUGCCGCAGGCCCGCAGCUACCUCCGUCGCCUCUCUUGCCCUCUGCGUCGUCUCUCUUGGCCUCUGCGUUUCCUUCUCCCCUCGUUGUCUCUCUCGCCCUCUACGUCUCCUUCUCCCCUCGUCGUCUCUCUCGCCCUUUGUGUCUCCUUCUCCCCUCGUUGUCUAUAUCGCCCCUUGCUACCCUUCUCGUCUCUCUCGCCGGAACGACCGCAUCUUGCUCGCCGCCAUAGAUCAGAUCUGUGCAUCUCCGCCUCUCCACCAUAGGGAAGAGAAAGGAAAGGAUCGCAAAACGAAGUUUCUGAAUUCGGCAAAAGUGAAACAGCACUGAGUAUGGUCGUUGGAUUCCUGCUUGUGAUGAGUACGAAUGGAGCUAGUGCUUUCCUGUAUCCGGUGGUUGAUGACGAGAAUGACGGAGUGACUCAGAUCUGAAGUAUUAUUUGCUGAAGAGUACUUAUGGAAUAUUGUUUAGAGUUGUUUGGGCCAUUUUGUCAUGAUUUGGACCUUCAUCUGAAAAUUGAAUAUAUUAUGCGCUGUACAGAAUACAUUUGUAACAGGGAUAUAUUUGUAUGUAUAUGGAGGUAGGCUUUUGCCGGCAUUCAUUAAAUUUGGACCUAUAUCUGAAAAUCGAAUAUAUUGUGCGCUGUACAGAAUACAUUUGUAACAGGGAUAUAUUAGUAUGUAUUGG